AGCAUGUGUAUUUUGGUGAAUUUUUGAAGGGCAUCUGUUAAGCAUAAAGGAAAUCUAUGAAAGAAUUUGAACCCCUCUUAAUGUUUGUUCUUUGAAUAUACUCUUUUGAUUUUAUGUCAUUGCAGAUCUGAUGUGUAGACCACCAACUGUUUAAAGGGGAAUAAUAAUUGCUUACGUUGCAAAAACUGUAUUCCAACAGGGGCGUCAAGAGGAAGUCAAAGAAAUUUCACCCUCUUAAAGGGAGAGCUUCUUCAUCCUCUGAAAUUGUACCGGUGAGGAGAUUCAGGCCUGAUGAGGUCACGUAACCUCUACCCAGAGAGCUGUGAAGGGAAAAGAAGAGGUAGAAGCCAGACCAUAACACACAGGUCUUCUCCAAAAUGUGAUGCUGCAGCUUCUCACUUCCUUAGGCAAAGCCACAGAGAAAAUGAACAUGCUGUGCAGCAGCUGGGUAAGCAUGUAUUGCCAGAACUGUAGAAAAUAAUACUGUAAGAAAAAUAGGAUAGUUCCUACACCUGUAAAUCCUUGAUCAUGGCUUCACCCUCACUUUCAAGACUAUUAAAGUCUUAUUUCUAAAGGUUGUACCAAUAAAUUAAUAGUCUUACCUUUCUGUCUCUUGAACAGAAUCAGCUGUAGUCUCUUUGUAGUGUGGUACAGUGUCAUUUAUAUCCAUACAGACUUUGCCAACAAAUGCUCGUUGUCCAAAUUUAUCUGUUGAGAUAAAUAAAGAAAAUAAAGAAAAUAAAACUCAAAAUCACUUGUUCUUUACAAAAACUGCUAGCAAAACCUGAAUUUAAAAGAAAAUAGUAAAUUUCACAUCCUCCAGUUUUAUUUAAGAUGAACAGAAUUUAUGUUGUUUUCUUGUCUUUAAGUUGGGGCCAUACUUGUGAUCUUUAAAGCCAAAAAGGAAAGAGAAAAACUGCAUUUAAGUAAGAGUUACAGAAUAUCACAGAAUAUCACAGAAUUUCUAGGUUGGAAGAGACCUCAAGAUCAUCGAGUCCAACCUCUAACCUAACACUAACAGUCCCCACUAAACCAUAUC